GGGACUCUGACACAGGNGCUGCAUGGCCGUCUCCAGCUCGGGUCUGGAGAUGUUGGGUUAAGUCCCGUAACGAGCGCAACCCCUAUCCCUAGUUGCUAGCAGUUCGGCUGAGAACUCUAGGGAGACUGCCGGUGACAAACCGGAGGAAGGUGGGGAUGACGUCAGGUCAUCAUGGCCCUUACGGCCAGGGCUACACACGUGCUACAAUGGCGCGCACAGAGGGCUGCAAACCCGCGAGGGGGAGCCAAUCUCACAAAACGCGUCGUAUUCCGGAUCGCAGUCUGCAACUCGACUGCUUGAAGUCGGAAUCGCUAGUAAUCGUGAAUCAAAAUGUCNCGGUGAAUACGUUCCCGGGUCUUGUACACACCG
rnacentral:rRNA from 1 species